ensembl:snRNA U6 U6 spliceosomal RNA
GUGCUCGCUUCGGCAGCACAAAGACUAGCACUGGAACGAUACAGAGAAGAUUCACAUGGUCCCUGCCAUGGAUGACAUGCAAAUUCAUGAAGUGUUCCAUAUUUUU